CGCUCAUCCAGAGGGGCAGAGGGAACGGCCCGUUGAAGCCCCGGCAACCCUCCGGCCGGUCUCGCGUCCAGCGUCACAGCUGAUGUCCAGUGCGAGGCUCCCGGCUCGGGAAGGUGCCAAUUCCGUCUCGUGGCGAGAUACGUCACGGGGAAGAUGAGGA
rnacentral:ncRNA from 2 species